rnacentral:rRNA from 1 species
UGAGGGAUAUUGGGCAAUGGGCGCAAGCCUGACCCAGCGACGCCGCGUGGAGGACGACGGGCUUCGGCUCGUAAACUCCUUUUCCCGGGGACGAGACAAGGACGGUACCCGGGGAAUAAGCAUCGGCUAACUUCGUGCCAGCAGCCGCGGUAAUACGAAGGAUGCAAGCGUUAUCCGGAAUUAUUGGGUUUAAAGGGUGCGUAGGCGGACUAAUAAGUCAGUGGUGAAAGCCUGCAGCUUAACUGCAGAAUUGCCAUUGAUACUGUUAGUCUUGAGUACAGUUGAGGUAGGCGGAAUGUGCCAUGUAGCGGUGAAAUGCUUAGAUAUGACACAGAACACCGAUUGCGAAGGCAGCUUGCUAAGCUGUAACUGACGCUGAGGCACGAAAGCGUGGGGAGCAAACA